ACUCCUACGGGAGGCAGCAGUAAGGAAUAUUGCGCAAUGGGCGAAAGCCUGACGCAGCGACGCCGCGUGGGGGAUGAAGGUCUUCGGAUUGUAAACCCCUUUCGGGAGGGAAGAUGGAGCGAGCAAUCGUUCGGACGGUACCUCCAGAAGCAGCCACGGCCAACUUCGUGCCAGCAGCCGCGGUAAUACGAAGGUGGCAAGCGUUGUUCGGAUUCACUGGGCGUACAGGGUGUGUAGGCGGUUUGGUAAGCCUUCUGUUAAAGCUUCGGGCCCAACCCGGAANNGCGCAGAGGGUACUGCCAGGCUAGAGGGUGGGAGAGGAGCGCGGAAUUCCCG
rnacentral:rRNA from 1 species